CACGUAGGGAGCAAGCGUUGUCCGGAUUUAUUGGGCGUAAAGGGCUCGUAGGCGGUUUGUCGCGUCGGGAGUGAAAUCCACUGGCUUAACUGGUGGCUUGCUUUCGAUACGGGCAGACUGGAGGCAUGCAGGGGAGAACGGAAUUCCUGGUGUAGCGGUGAAAUGCGCAGAUAUCAGGAGGAACACCGGUGGCGAAGGCGGGUCUCUGGGCCGAUAUUGACGCUGAGGAGCGAAAGCGUGGGGAGCGAACAGG
rnacentral:rRNA from 1 species